rnacentral:rRNA from 1 species
AUUGAACGCUGGCGGCAUGCCUUACACAUGCAAGUCGAACGGCAGCACGGGAGCAAUCCUGGUGGCGAGUGGCGAACGGGUGAGUAAUAUAUCGGAACGUGCCCAGUCGUGGGGGAUAACGCAGCGAAAGCUGUGCUAAUACCGCAUACGAUCUAUGGAUGAAAGCGGGGGAUCGCAAGACCUCGCGCGAUUGGAGCGGCCGAUAUCAGAUUAGGUAGUUGGUGGGGUAAAGGCCCACCAAGCCAACGAUCUGUAGCUGGUCUGAGAGGACGACCAGCCACACUGGAACUGAGACACGGUCCAGACUCCUACGGGAGGCAGCAGUGGGGAAUUUUGGACAAUGGGGGAAACCCUGAUCCAGCCAUGCCGCGUGCAGGAUGAAGGCCUUCGGGUUGUAAACUGCUUUUGUACGGAACGAAAAGGUCCUUUCUAAUAAAGAGGGCUCAUGACGGUACCGUAAGAAUAAGCACCGGCUAACUACGUG